CGGGCCUACGGGAGGCAGCAGUGAGGAAUAUUGGUCAAUGGGCGAGAGCCUGAACCAGCCAAGUCGCGUGAAGGAUGACGGCCCUACGGGUUGUAAACUUCUUUUGUCAGGGAGCAAUUGGGUCCACGCGUGGGCUUAGCGAGAGUACCUGAAGAAAAAGCAUCGGCUAACUCCGUGCCAGCAGCCGCGGUAAUACGGAAGGUCCGGGCGUUAUCCGGAUUUAUUGGGUUUGAAGGGAGCGUAGGCCGGUCUUUAAGCGUGCCGUGAAAUUUUGUGGCUCAACCAUGAGAGUGCGGCGCGAACUG
rnacentral:rRNA from 1 species